rnacentral:pre_miRNA from 1 species
AAGAUACUCCCUCUGUCCCAAAUUACUUGUCGUAGACAUGGAUGUAUCUAGACGUAUUUUUAGUUUUAGAUACAUUCAUUUCUGUGACAAGUAAUUUCUGGACGGAGGGAGUAUCAG